rnacentral:rRNA from 1 species
AUGAACGCUGGCGGCGUGUCUAAGGCAUGCAAGUCGAUCGAAUUCAUAUUCGAGGCAAACGGGUGAGUAUCACGUUGGUAAUCUACUUCCGACACAGGCAUAACCCACCGAAAGGUGGGAUAAUACCUGAUAGUCAUGGGGGGCCGUAGGGCGUUCCCAUGUAAAGAUUUAUCGGUCGGAAAGGAACCAGCGGCCCAUCAGCUUGUUGGUAGGGUAACGGCCUACCAAGGCUAUGACGGGUAGCGGGUGCGAGAGCAUGAACCGCCUCACUGGGACUGAGACACUGCCCAGACUCCUACGGGAGGCUGCAGUCAAGAAUCUUCCGCAAUGGCCGCAAGGCUGACGGAGCGACGCCGCGUGCAGGAAGAAGCCCUUCGGGGUGUAAACUGCUUUUCUUUGGGACGAAUUUGUGACGGUACCAAAGGAAUAAGUCACUGCUAAUCACGU